UACGGAGGGUGCGUGCGUUAAUCGGAAUAACUGGGCGUAAAGGGCACGCAGGCGGGCUUUUUAGUGAGAUGUGAAAUCCCCGGGCUUAACCUGGGAAUAGCAUUUCAGAGUGGGAGUCUAGAGUACUUUAGGGAGGGGUAGAAUUCAACGUGUAGCGGUGAAAUGCGUAGAGAUGUGGAGGAAUACCGAAGGCGAAGGCAGCCCCUUGGGAAUGUACUGACGCUCAUGUGCGAAAGCGUGGGGAGCAAACAGG
rnacentral:rRNA from 1 species